CAAAAUAAAGCUUAUAAGUUAAGCAUUUCGUUUACAUUGAAAAGAUUUUUGUGCAAAUCAGAUUAUUUUGA
rnacentral:tRNA from 3 species